UUCGACGCGAGAUUCUCACGAGCGGAGAGAUCACUGCUAGCUGUACAUACAAAGUUGCACGUGUUCCAGGCAUAUAAUUACGGAGGAAGCUAACGUGACAGGAUCAAAGAUAGCUAUCGUCCAUUAAGAAUGCCUUCUAUUCGAGCAAAAAAGAAGGACUCAACCUGCAGCAUCGAAUCAAACUAGACCCAACAAGCGAUGCGAAAGAAAGCUAUCGUAUUAGUAUUUCUUUUCGUCGAUAAAUAUGGUAUCUGGAAAGUAAUAUCCCACGGAGCAUGCUACACUAUCGUCGAUCGAACAUGAAAUAGUAACAGUCUCACAGGACUGAAUAAAUAAUCGACACUGACCGUGUUUUUAUUCAUCGAGCUUUAUUGGUAUACGUAUGAUUCGGCCAAAAGAAUUGUACCUAAGCGAAGAAUCCUCUCUAUAAGCCCUGACUGAUUACAAUCAAUGUCCAGGCAAAACCCUUGAACCUACAAAGCUGAAAUUUUGCACAGGGGUUUCCUUUAUGAUGCAUAGAAGGAAUAAGAAAGGAUAUUUUGAAAUUCAACACCUAAGGGAGUAAAAAGGAGUUGCGACGUUUGUACGAGGAAUAUUUUAUUUGUUGUCGGAUUUGCUUGAAACUUGGUCUUAAUGCUCUUUGACAUAAUUAAUCAAACACAUAUUUCGGCAUUUAAAAAAAUUCAAUCCCUGAUGGGGUGAAAAGGGGCUGCAAAGUUUGUAUCAACGUCCAAGCUAAACCCUUGAACCUAGAAAGCUUAAUUUUAUUGAUUUCUAAUUGAAUAAAUGAUGUUCGAUGCAAAAGAAAGUAAUUGUUCUAUUAUCCGAAAAUUCCCCUAUCCGGCCACUUUUGUCUCCCUAUUAAUUCGGAUAUGAGAGUCUCCACUGUAUUUGUAAAAUUCAAAAAGGAAUAUAUUACAAAAUAAAGGGUCGAUAAAUUAACGCCAAAAUUUAAAUAUUUGUUGAAAAUCGUGUUAUUAAUGUCUAUUCAAUGCUUAGUGUAAAGUU